UCGACGUGGACAUCCAGAGAGUUACUUUUUUUGGCUCUGUCCUGGUGGCGUAUGGGAGCGUAGCUUUUAGCGAAGACGUAUAUUCCCGUUCCAUGCCGUCGAAAACUAAGCUUUGUCCCUGGCUUCUAGCUGGUGAGGACGAGCGUUCUGCAUAUUCCUACAACUUCCCAGAGUCCUUUUGGGGCCGUUACUGGGGAGCCAAACCAUGCAGUGCACACUG